GACGAACGCUGGCGGCGUGCUUAACACAUGCAAGUAGAACGAAGUCGCGCACGGGUGAGUAACGCGUAAACCACCUGCCCUUCAGAGGGGAACAACAGGUGGAAACGACUGCUAAUACCGCAUACUGAAGGAGGUGAGUGCGUUUGAUUAGCACGUUGGCGGGGUAACGGCCCACAAAGGCGAUGGUCAGUAGCCGGGCCGAGGAGUGUAACGGGCAAAAUGGGACUGGGACACGGCCCAGGCUCCUACGGGAGGCAGCAGGGGGGAAUCUUCCGACAUUGACGGAAGUCUGACGGAGCAACGCCGCGGGAGUGAAGACGGGCUUCGGGUUGUAAAGCUCUGUUAAUCGGGAAGCGGUACCGGAAUAGAAAGCCACGGCUAACUACGUGCCAGCCGCCGCGGUAAUUC
rnacentral:rRNA from 1 species